GACGAACGCUGGCGGCGUGCUUAACACAUGCAAGUCGAACGGGCCCGCACCUUUUUUGGGGGCGGGUUGAGUGGCGAACGGGUGAGUAUCACGUGAGUAACCUGCCCUCCUCUCCUGGAUAACCGCUUGAAAGGGCGGCUAAUACGGGGUGGUCCGGUUGGUCCGCAUGGGCCGGCUGGGAUAGUUUCAUCUUCGGGUGUUUCGGUGGGGGAUGGGCUCGCGGCCUAUCAGCUUGUUGGUGGGGUGAUGGCCCACCAAGGCGGUGACGGGUAGCCGGCCUGAGAGGGUGGGCGGCCACACUGGGACUGAGACACGGCCCAGACUCCUCGGGAGGCAGCAGUGGGGGGUAUUGCACAAUGGGCGGAAGCCUGAUGCAGCGACGUCGCGUGAGGGAUGGAGGCCUUCGGGUUGUGAACCUCUGUUUCCGGUGGUGAAGGCCCCGCCCC
rnacentral:rRNA from 1 species